rnacentral:tRNA from 1 species
GGAGGAGUGGCAGAGAGGUCGAAUGCGCUUGUCUUGAAAACAAGAGGGCUCUAACGGGUCCCGUGAGUUCGAAUCUCACCUCCUCCG